GGUUGUGUAGUGUAAUGGUUAUCACUCUGGAUUCUGACGAUUAAAACACGUCCUUUCCAGCAAUCUGAGUUCGAUUCUCAGCACGACCU